UCAGUUCGGACUGGAGUCUGCAACCCGACUCCACGAAGCUGGAUUCGCUAGUAAUCGCGCAUCAGCCACGGCGCGGUGAAUACGUUCCCGGGCCUUGUACACACCGCCCGUCAAGCCAUGGGGGGCCGGGGGUACCUGAAGUGCGUAACCGCGAGGAUCGCCCUAGGGUAAAACUGGUGACUGGGGCUAAGUCGUAACAAGGUAAC
rnacentral:rRNA from 1 species